rnacentral:misc_RNA from 1 species
AACAUCGCGCACCUGCGGGAACCUGCGGAAGGAUCAUUAAUGAUUGGUGGCUGUUGCUGACUAGUGUUUCUAGUAUGUGCACGCCACACCUUCAAUCCCACUUACACCUGUGCACCUUCUGUAAUAGAUCUAUGUGGAUACGGAGAUAUGAAAGUUUGCGCUCUCGUACUCUGUUGAAGCAGUCUACUACGUUUUUUUACACACACACAAUAGCCAUUGAAUGUAUUUUUUAUUCUUAUG